CUCCGUCCUAACGUGCCAUAUCUUCGGUCUUCUGGCAUCAAAAUGGAAACCUUUGGACAUUACAUUGGGAGCCAGCGGGAUGGCCCUGCCCCCUAGCACAGAAGAGGAAAACCUCUCUAUCCGAGCCUGCUGGAACGGCUCCCUACGCUGCUCGGCGAGGCGAGCGUCACCCGCGCGAAGACGUGGAGCCGCGCGACCCCGCUGGGCCAACCCCUGACCAGUCCGUCGGCGAGGCGAGCGUCACCCGCGCGAAGACGUGGGGCCGCGCGACCCCGCUGGGCCAACCCCUGACCAGUCCGUCCCGUGAAGGCUUCGCGGCAGCCUCGGGGAGUGACCUCGUGAGGGGAGUUUUGCACGGCUCCUGACGAGGCUUGCUGACUGGCGCCUCGCGCGCCGGGGGCCGUCUCGAGAGCCUUGUCCGUGAGGCUCAAAGGCGGGCCGUGUUGGGCGUGCGGCAUGCGCCGCAUCCAGGGCUGCAGGCAUACAAGCCUGAAUACCCGAGUCUCACAGGCCUGACACCCGCUGCAACUAUCAGUGUAACACCAGUUGCCCUUUAGUAUAACACGGCCAUGGAUUCUCUCAUAUUUGCCGUAAAAGCUAAAAAAAAAAACCACUGACUUAGGCCAUAAGCCCAAUCUUCUGCAGAUAUUGGAAAACCUAGAGAACAAACCCGCCAGUAGCACUUAGGGUAUUAAGCUCAAUCUUCUGCAGAUAUUGGUUUAAAAACUAUAAAACAAACCCAUUAGUAGCAUUUCACUUGUAUGGCCUAAGCCCAAUCUUAAAACCAAUAAAAUGCUGUAGUAAACCAAAUACUGACAUGACAUGAUAAUUAUGUUCAGAAAGGAUAAUGAGGGCUGUCUGUGCAUUAAUUCCUAGUGAAACACAAGCUCACAUGCAUUGUAGUUAGAUAAAUGACCUCAGGAGAUACUUUGGUAAUUAAGAGACCCUUCAGUAUAUGGUUUAAAAUAAAUAAAUCCAGCAGUAGCAAUUCACUUAUGUGGAUUAACCCCAAUAUUCUGCAAAUAUUGACACUAUCAGUGCCAUAUCUAAGGGGGGUUCAGAUGUAAACAAACUUCUAUCUAAACCAUUUAUCUGACGAUCACAGCUACACAGGUACAGGUACACACUGGGAAUGUUGCUCUGGGUACUGCUCCUCUUCCUCCCUAACAACGAAAAACUCUUGCAGGUACCAGAGAAGAACAAAUGCUGUAGUAGACCAAUUACUGAGAUGAUAAAUGGCUUUAGAGAUGAUAAUGAGGCUGCCUGUGCAUUAAUUCCUAGUACUGAACAACAUGCUGACAUGCCUUCUAGUUAAACAUAUGACUUGAGGAAAUAAGCUGGUAAUUAACCAAGAGAACCUAACUGCCUUGAAGCAUCUCAGGACAGAAGAAGGAUUCGGUGCUAAGCCCAAUUAGAAGCAUAUAAAAACAAGUAAUAUGGUUUAAGCCCAGUCUUCUGCAGUUACACAGGUACUACUACACACUGGGAACAUUGAUGUGGGUACUGCUCCUCCCAAACAAGGAAAACUCUUGCAGGUACAGGAAGAAGAAGACUGAUAAAAUGCUGUAGUAGAGCUGCCCUCAGAAGACUGGGCAGCUGACAUGAUAAAUUGCUUCAGAAAUUAUAGUGAGGGCUGCCUGUGCAUUAAUUUCUAAUAAAACACAUGCUGACAUGCCUUGUACUACUACUAGUUAGAUAAAUGUCCUCAGGAGAUGCACUUGGGGUAAUUAUUCG